rnacentral:rRNA from 1 species
AGAGUUUGAUCCUGGCUCAGGAUGAACGCUAGCUACAGGCUUAACACAUGCAAGUCGAGGGGCAGCAUCAUCAAAGCUUGCUUUGAUGGAUGGCGACCGGCGCACGGGUGAGUAACACGUAUCCAACCUGCCGACAACACUGGGAUAGCCUUUCGAAAGAAAGAUUAAUACCGGAUGGCAUAGUUUUCCCGCAUGGGAUAAUUAUUAAAGAAUUUCGGUUGUCGAUGGGGAUGCGUUCCAUUAGGCAGUUGGCGGGGUAACGGCCCACCAAACCAACGAUGGAUAGGGGUUCUGAGAGGAAGGUCCCCCACAUUGGAACUGAGACACGGUCCAAACUCCUACGGGAGGCAGCAGUGAGGAAUAUUGGUCAAUGGACGAGAGUCUGAACCAGCCAAGUAGCGUGAAGGAUGACUGCCCUAUGGGUUGUAAACUUCUUUUAUACGGGAAUAAAGUUAGCCACGUGUGGCUUUUUGUAUGUACCGUAUGAAUAAGGAUCGGCUAACUCCGUGCCAGCAGCCGCGGUAAUACGGAGGAUCCGAGCGUUAUCCGGAUUUAUUGGGUUUAAAGGGAGCGUAGGCGGGUUGUUAAGUCAGUUGUGAAAGUUUGCGGCUCAACCGUAAAAUUGCAGUUGAUACUGGCGACCUUGAGUGCAACAGAGGUAGGCGGAAUUCGUGGUGUAGCGGUGAAAUGCUUAGAUAUCACGAAGAACUCCGAUUGCGAAGGCAGCUUACUGGAUUGUAACUGACGCUGAUGCUCGAAAGUGUGGGUAUCAAACAGGAUUAGAUACCCUGGUAGUCCACACAGUAAACGAUGAAUACUCGCUGUUGGCGAUAUACGGUCAGCGGCCAAGCGAAAGCAUUAAGUAUUCCACCUGGGGAGUACGCCGGCAACGGUGAAACUCAAAGGAAUUGACGGGGGCCCGCACAAGCGGAGGAACAUGUGGUUUAAUUCGAUGAUACGCGAGGAACCUUACCCGGGCUUAAAUUGCAACUGACGGAAUCGGAAACGGUUCUUUCUUCGGACAGUUGUGAAGGUGCUGCAUGGUUGUCGUCAGCUCGUGCCGUGAGGUGUCGGCUUAAGUGCCAUAACGAGCGCAACCCUUACGGGUAGUUACCAUCAGGUUAUGCUGGGGACUCUACCCGGACUGCCGUCGUAAGAUGUGAGGAAGGUGGGGAUGACGUCAAAUCAGCACGGCCCUUACGUCCGGGGCUACACACGUGUUACAAUGGGGGGUACAGAAGGCAGCUACCGGGUGACAGGAUGCUAAUCCCAAAAGCCUCUCUCAGUUCGGAUCGAAGUCUGCAACCCGACUUCGUGAAGCUGGAUUCGCUAGUAAUCGCGCAUCAGCCACGGCGCGGUGAAUACGUUCCCGGGCCUUGUACACACCGCCCGUCAAGCCAUGAAAGCCGGGGGUACCUGAAGUACGUAACCGCGAGGAGCGUCCUAGGGUAAAACUGGUGAUUGGGGCUAAGUCGUAACAAGGUAGCCGUACCGGAAGGUGCGGCUG